GACAGCACUCCCUGCUAUUCCGCGCCCUGAAUUUCAAGUUGCUAUGAAAAGAUGUCUACAGACAAAGAAGGAAAGGGCCUCAAGACAGAAAUGUGGCAGCCGAACAAAGCGGAAUGAUGACAUGAGAAAAUACUCCAGAAAAUCUACAAAGAGUCGUAACAGAGUGAAGGGUAUUCGAAAAGCUGACCUCCCCAGCCACAAAAA